rnacentral:lncRNA from 1 species
UAAAACCAUGAAAUUCACUAAACCCUAGAUCUGAUCUGAAAAUUAGCCCUCCCUCUUCUCUCCUUCUAGAAACCACCGUUCUGCUCCCUCUCUUCUUCCACCGUUUUGCUCCAUCUCUUCUUCCACCGUCGAUGAUGUCGCUCUCCGCCGCUCCCCGCUGCUCCCCGCCGCUCCCCUCCGCUCCACUUUUUCUUCCUUCACCAACGUUGGGCAGCAAUAAUAAUCCCUCCCAACCCUUCUUAAAAAAUGGCAGCACGAACAAACGAAAGCGACGACCCACCGUAAUUCCAGGUACAAUACACACACAGACAUGUGUGUGCGCGUGUAUAUGUAUAAUAAAUAAAUGAAUUUUGAGAAUAGUUGGAUAUAUGAAAGUACGAGUGCUAUCUCUUGCCAUUUUUACUUCUUUAUGUGUUGUCAGGCUUCAAAACUUGGUCCACUCGUUUGAGGAGUUCGGUGACAAAGAUAAGUUUAGGAAUCCUAUUGGUUCUAAUGAUUUAUUGGCUUAUUGACUUAAUUUUUUCAUUUUUUUUGAAUCAUAAAAGAUGGGCUAUCAUGCUGAGAUUAUACUGAAGCUAUGCUUUACAGAAUAAUAUGUUAUAAAUAAUGUUUUAAUAAAUUCGUAUAUAUAUAUUCAGAUCUAGAUGCAGAAGUUCACUUGAAAUUAAUUUACUUGUUGAACAACAUAUUUGCUUGCAGAAUAAUGGAAGCCAUUGACAUGUUCCUUGAAGGUACUCAAAAUCUAGUGAAGUUGUACACGAAUUUGGCAUAUACUUCAAGUUAUAGUCAACUACAAACUACACAUUACUACAUAUGACUAUAAUCAUACAUAAUAACAUGUAGUCAUGUAUAGGUUAUGUGGUUUUUUAAACGUAGAGCGAUGAUGAUUUGUUUUUUGUUGAAGAACAUAUGCUUUGAUUUUGUAUGUUGAUCAAUAUUCGUACAAGUUGAUAUAUAAUAUCAAGUUUUAAAUUGUGAUUUUUGUUGUUCGUGUCGAUGAAGUUCUUUUUUUGUGGUUUCUAUAGUCACAUGUGGUCAUAUACAUGUAGUCAUUCAUAUAUAGUCACGUGUGGUCAUAUACAUGUAGUCAUAUAUAGUCACAUGUGGUCAUAUACAUGUAGUCAUAUAUAGUCACAUGUGGUCAUAUACAUGUAGUCAUAUAUAGGCAAAUGUGGUCAUAUACAUAUAGUCAUAUAUAGUCACAUGUAGUCAUAUACAUAUAGUCAUAUAUAGUCACGUGUAAUAACAUGUAGUAAUAUAUAGUUAUAUAUAAAGUAUGUGUUUUUUCUGAUAUAUAAUGACGUUGAUGAAUGUGUUUUUCCAAUUUUUUGUUCGGU